AUAAGAGCUAGAGACAGUGGUAUGCCAGUAAAGUCAGCAGUUAAAGUUUGUUCGAUAACAGUCAACAGAAAUAUUAUUGGUCCCCAAUUUACACCUGCCAGUAGUUCAGUGUCUAUCACGAUACCAGAAACACAAACACCUGGCUCUGUAUUAGUCGAUCUUGAUGCUACUGACAACAGUCCAAAUGCACCUGACAACCAGAUUACCUAUUCUAUUAGUAGUCAGUCUUCUGGGUCGUCUGAUUAUCUAGUUCUGGACCCGAAUGAUGGUAGAAUUCGAUUAAUACAGUCUCUGGCUGGAACUUCCUUCAAUGGAUUCCAGCUAACAGUAACAGCCCGUGAUGGUGGCUUCCCCAGUUUGGCAACAACAACUACUGUUAAUAUCAAUGUAGUUAGAGAGGGUACCCUUACCUUCGGUUUAAAUGACUAUGGUAGACGUAUAGAUGAAGAUUUAGGCGUUAAUUCUCUGG